rnacentral:rRNA from 1 species
UACAGGGGGGGCAAGCGUUGUUCGGAAUUACUGGGCGUAAAGCGUGCGCAGGCGGUUUUGUAAGCCAGAUGUGAAAUCCCCGGGCUUAACCUGGGAAUGGCAUUUGGGACUGCAAGGCUCGAGUGCGGCAGAGGAGACUGGAAUUCCUGGUGUAGCAGUGAAAUGCGUAGAUAUCAGGAGGAACACCGAUGGCGAAGGCAGGUCUCUGGGCUGACACUGACGCUCACGCACGAAAGCGUGGGGAGCAAACAGG